UACGAAGGGGGCUAGCGUUGCUCGGAAUCACUGGGCUUAAAGCGCACGUAGGCGGACUCUUAAGUCGGUGGUGAAAUCCUGGAGCUCAACUCCAGAACUGCCUUCGAUAGUGAGAGUCUCGAGUCCGGGAGAGGUGAGUGGAACUGCGAGUGUAGAGGUGAAAUUCGUAGAUAUUCGCAAGAACACCAGUGGCGAAGGCGGCUCACUGGCCCGGUACUGACGCUGAGGUGCGAAAGCGUGGGGAGCAAACAGG
rnacentral:rRNA from 1 species